UGUUAUAUAUGUGUAGUACAGACUGCGGGUGUGAGGGGUGACAUGUUAUAUAUGUGUAGUACAGACUGCGGGUGUGGGGGGUGACAUGUUAUAUAUGUGUAGUACAGGGUGUGAUGGGUGACAUGUUACAUAUGUGUAGUACAGGGUGUGAUGGGUGACAUGUUAUAUAUGUGUAGUACAGGGUGUGAUGGGUGACAUGUUAUAUAUGUGUAGUACAGGGUGUGAGGGGUGACAUGUUAUAUAUGUGUAGUACAGGGUGUGAUGGGUGACAUGUUAUAUAUGUGUAGUACAGGGUCUGAGGGGUGGCAUGUAUAUGGUAUAUGAAAAAUAGGAAAAGGGGGUGAUUUAAAUUAUUGUUUAGGUCAGGGACUAGUUUGCAGCGUACCUGUCAGAUCCCACAAAAAAAAUAAACUGUUAUGUUACUCAGUGCCUCAUCCUGAUCAUGAACAUAUAAUUUUUAUGUAUCUAUCACUGAUACUACACAAAAAAAUAGCAUAUUACAGCUGCUCAAUGUCUUUUCCAUCUUCCCAAAGGGAGGGGGUGUGUCCUUCUCUUGCCUGCACUGUGAUGACUCCUCCCUCCCUCUGCUGUCUGAAUGCUCUCAGGAGCGAGCUCGGCAGCCCUGCUCUGUAACCCUUUCAUCUCUGGAUUUAUGCUGCACACACACACACAAUGAUUAUUGGAGAUUGCCUGUACUCUACCACCAAAGACAAUAUGAUUGGGGAACAGAUGAGAAGGAGCAAGGACAGGCGAAAACGGUGAAUGGGGAAUCACUUGAACAACUAAGGAGCAUGACUGUCAGACUACAUGGCAACUUACGGUCACACGCGAGGUUGUACUGAGCCGUAAAAUGUUCAUGUCUAUGAGCCCCUAGGCCGGUUUCACAUUGGCGAUAUUACAGCCAAAACACCCAGCUGUGUAGUAGUCCUGAAGAACCACACGUAGGUCACUAGAGAACCUGAAUUACUCCUGUGAGAAACUCAACUUACAUAGGUACAUGCACCUUAUUUCUCCUUGUGACUGCUUGCUGGCCAUACUAUUCUACCCUACUAUAAGUCCUGGUGGUAUCUGAGCACUGGAAACCAUUGAUAGGACCCAGGAAAAGCAACUGCUAUAGUUUCAAGAGAUGUGCCUUAUUCAGCGCAUCCUAACCAGGAGGAAUAACAGAGGAAUAACAUUACAGAAAAGAUCCAGAGUUGAAAUCACAAAGGCUAAAUUCGCAAUACGGAAUUUCUAAGCAGAGAAAUUUCACUCUUAAAAUUACAGUGCAGAAGCCUCCCAUUGUCUUCAAUGGAAUUCUGUGGAAAUUGAAAUUCCGGACUCCACCAAAAGAAAAAAUCAGCUUGGAAAUGCAUUGCUGUCUAUGGAGGUGCCGCAUGUCCGAAGAGUCCUCAUUUGGUGCCUGCUGUACACAGAAUGUCCCAAACAGGGCCUUAAUACGUGUUUACAGAAUUUCUCCGGGAUUAGAACCUGAAGCUUGCGGAACCUCUUGAGAAUUACGGCCGUCAAUCCUUGAGCUCGUGGAUGAAGGCGCUAAUUAUAAUUUAUGUCCGUGAAGCUGUACGCAGACCUAAAAGAGUUCCCACAUGACUGGGGCACUUUUAUCUUCACAGUCUUAUGAGUCAUUGCCCCCUGUAGUGCAAGUAAGUCUAGCCUUGCCAGGGAGUUCUGUCAUAGCAUUACGGGACAUGGGGUGGGGAUUUACUAGAUUCUGUGUGGUAUCUCUGCAAUGGAAGCUGUGACAUGUUCUCCAGGACUCUCUCCUCUUAUAACUUGGCUUCGGUUCUAACAAUGUUUUGCACGGUCUUAUCCCCCGUCAGGCUAUAACAUUUCAUGUUUACAACAUACAAACACUUUAGACAAAGUUUCCUAUCCUGCGUGGAAGCAGCUGACGCCAGUCCAUAACCGCCUGCCCCCCCCCCCCAAAAUAACAAAAAACAUGGUGGGAAAAGAGGCACACAUGCCAUAACUUACAGGAAAAAGGGUGUGAGCGAAAGUGCUGGGAGCCUUCAGACCCCAAAGGAACAUAUCCCAAAAGAGAAGCGUCCACAACGGGCAUUAUAAACGGAAAGAGAGGCAGCUGAGGGUGGGGAUCGGGAAGGGGGAGACCGAUUCCACACACGGGACACAUUUCUAUUUUUUAUGGGAAGGGUAUUUUUAGAAGUCUCCCUCGCUCUCACACCAGAACCCUGGUCCCAGGGUGCGGUUCUUGUUUGACAGACUUUGCGGCAGAAUGCCAGGCUGAAUUCUAGCUGGGAGUGCAAAGAUGAAGGACGCCAAGGGAAGGGGGGGGGGGGCGCGACGCAGGGAUAGACAUGUAUCAGCCAUGUGGGAGGGCGAGAGGAAAAAGUUUGUUCCUAAGUCAGGAUAUAGAAACAGAGUUUAUAAUAAACUAGCUGCAGAUAGAAGCUGAGCCGGCAGCUAUUUAUAGUGCGUGGUUGGGUCAGAACAGCUUCCUACUUCUUAAAUACAGACAACUCCUCUUACAGCACUGAGACUGGUGGGGACAUGUCAUACCGGAUUGUUUAUUUCCAGACGAGCCGGCUGAUACUGACAUACACAUCAAAGACAGCAUACCGAGUAUAUAAACAUAGUCAGUACUCAGCACACAGGUACCUACAAUACAGAUAUACAUGGUGACGACUAAAAAGCUUCUUACAACGAUCCAUUAUCCUAUAAUAUAGAACAUAGUAACAGUUCGUAAGGUUGAAAAAAGACCAAGGUCCAUCAAGUUCAACCUAUAACCCUAAUGAGUCCCUACUGAGUUGAUCCAGAGGCAAAAAACCCUCAUACUAGAGGUAAAAAUUCCUUCCCGACUCCAAAUAUGGCAUCAGAAUAAAUCACUGGAUCAACCUUCUGUCCCUAUAAAUCUAGAAUCCAUAACCUGUAAUGUUAUUACUCUCCAAAAAUGCAUCCAGACCCCUUUUAAAUUAUUUUACCGAGUUAACCAUGACCCCCUCCUCAGGCAGAGAAUUCCACAGUCUCACUUGGAAAUUCUGCAGUGUGAAUGGGUCUUGCGGAGACCCAUUCACACUAAUGUUAAGUUCACACCACGGAAUUCCGCUCGUUGAACUCCGCGGGAAUUCCGUAGUGUGAACGCACCCUAAUUCUUCUUAAUCUUUCUUGGUACUGUAGUCUGCCCAUUCCCCGUAUUACUCUGGUUGCCCAUCUUUGAACCCUCUCCAGCUCCACUGUAUCUUUCUUGUAUACUGGUGCCCAGUACUGUACACCUUAUUCUAUGUGUGAUCUGACUAGUGAUUUGUACAGCGGUAGAAUUACUUCCUUGUCGUGGGCAUCUAUGCCCCUAUUGAUGCCACCCAUGAUUUUAUUUGCCUUGGCAGCAGCUGCCCGACACUGGUCACUACAGCUAAAUUUACUAUUAACUAAGACCCCUAAGUCCUUUUCCAUGUCAGUCGUCCCAAAUGUUCUCCCAUUUCAUACAUAAUCCCAGCCCGGAUUUUUCCUCCCCAUGUGCAUUACCUUACAUUUAUCAGUGUUGAACCUCAUCUGCCACUUCCCAUCCUUUCUUGGUGAAAAAUCCAAAAUGUUAUGAAAAUUUAACAUUUUUCUAACUUUGAAACUUUCUGCUUGUAAGGAAAAUGGACAUUCCAAAUAACAUAUAUUGAUUCACAAAUACAACAUGUCUACUUUAGGUUUGUAUCAUGAAGUUGACAUGUUUGUACUUUUUGAAGACAUUAAUGGGCUUCAAAGUAUAGCAGCAAUUUUCAAAAUUUCACAAAAAAAUUGUAAAUCUGAAUUUUCAGGGAUCAGUUAAGUUUGAAGUGGAUUUGAGGAGCCUUUCUGUGAGAAAUACCCCAUAUAUGACCCCAUUAUAGAAACUGCACCCCUCAAAGUAUUCAAAUUGACAUUCAGAAAGUUUAACACUUUAGGUGUUUCACAGGAAUAGCAGCAAAGUGAAGGAGAAAAUUCUAAAUCUUCAUUUUUUACACUCGCAUGUUCUUGUAGAGCCAUUUUUCUUAUUUUUACAAGUGGUAAAAGGAGAGAAUUCCGCCCAAAAUUUAACCCAAUUUCUCUUGAGUAAGGAAAUACCUCAUAUGUGGAUGUAAAGUGUUCUGCAGGCGCAGUAGAGGGCUCAGAAGGGAAGGAGCGACAAUGGGAUUUUGGAGAGUGAAUUUUGGGUGGCUUAUAGCAAACCCCUAUCUGUAUUUUUUUUUUAUCUCCAUAUAUGUAUACCCAUAAUGACUCCACAUUAUCGUUUCCCUCCUGUAUAUCCUCUCGCAGUGCGGCCUUCAGACUCGAUUUCACAUAAAGACAAACUCCUCCCUCUUUACGUUUUGUCCGAUCCUUCCUGAAUAGACUAUAACCCUGGUGCUCCUCCAGAUCCAGGAUUUGGGCUUCCAAAUUAACAACUCGCACACAUCUCGCACAACAAUAUGCACCCUCAAACUGCUCUUUAAGGAUUGCAUACAUUGUGCAUGCCCACUGGACUGCCUUUUUCAACAUGGAGGCCAUACUAAAUUUGGGGAUUGCAAAAAUUAACAGUAAAAAACAAUCAAAUAUUUCAAUUAAACUCCCUGAAUUUAAAGUCCCUUAAUUUUAAGUCCCUCUCACUUUUAUACUUACACUCACUUGUAUACUUCACACUCUUGUAUACAGACACACAAUCACUAGCUCAGACAAUCGCUUAGUAUACUUUCUUUUAUAGUUACCAGACACCACCUCUGCCUGGAAGUGAAUGCCAAAUGUUAGUAGUAAUGACGGCCCAUUGAGUUGUGUUAUUAAAGGGGUCCAUCAAUGCUGCUGAGAACCUCAUGAUCAUCUCUACUUUGUGGAGGAAUCCAGCAACAAGUGUUCAUUUUUCCUGCAACUCCACCACUGGAGAAAUAAAGUAUUACAUGUCUGAAACCACUGGAAUGUCUGUGUAAUGUAUGGUCAUCCAGAUAGAGACGGGCUCUUGUAGGCUUUUCUCAUGGAGGUCCUGAAUGAGGAACUUUGUCUUAUCUAAAUUCUUCAAAGAAGCCAUUGUAUACACCAUCAUGUCAUAGGUAGGGGGCAGAAUUAUAUGCUGGCACCUUGGCCCACAUUCUUAAGACUAUAACAAUGCCAAACUUCUAUAUUUGAUCCAUGGUCAAAACCACCUAGAUCUGGUCUGACCAGUUGAGCUCAUCAUCUUGGAGACCUUUACAUCAGCCAUCAACUCUUGGAAGGAGGAGAAGAACCAUUUUUUUUUUUUUUUAACAAUAGCACAUUCAUGGGCAACUUAGGAAAAAAAUCUAUCACAGGGUAAUGGACAAAAGUUUAGAGCUCAACAACAGGUCGGCAAACUUUAUAAUAUCUGGAAGGACAGUUUAAGUGGAUCUCAUGAAUGUUGUCUGGCCCAUUUAUUUAUCUGGUGCUUUGGUUGAUGGAGACUGCUUACAGCCACUGGGGGCAUCUUUGCUGACCAGACGAGUUUGAGUUGACGCAUACAACAUGAUAUUAAAUGUCUACCAUGAAAUUGUACAAGCACAAACAACGAGGUUGCCAAAACAACCAUUGUAAAACUUAGCAUCCAAAAGGCAGGAACAAAUAUAAAAAGGUGGGUCCACAUAUGUUCAGGGAUCCAGUAUAGUUUCCCUGCAGCUGGUAAGUGGACAAGUCUGGUGCCAUGUCCCAUAUGGAGAGGCUGGAGGGGAUGCCACGUACAACAGAUCCAGCUUCUAGCAUAUGGCUUUUCCCAUAAGGGUAGCCCAAGGAUGGGCAUAUAUACGUGACCGAACUCUAAAAAAAUUGCUGCACAAAUGCAAACAGCAACCAUCGUAGAAUGACACACAAUCUUAUUCACGUACAAUGGCCUAGGGAAGAUAAAACAGAUAGACAAGUGCAGAUACACUCACUCAAGAGUAUCUGCGAUUACCCCCAGGCUGAUAAAAUGGUCAGACCCCCACAGGGCUACAUGAAAGGCAGUCUGAGCCCUAACCGUGACCUCGGGGUCAUCAGUUCAUGACCCAAAAGUCACCUGGUCAUCUGAAAGGAGGAGGGUCUGUUGGCAGGAGUUUCAAGGGAAAGAACAGCACCCAUGGAAGGUGUGAGUGAGAUGGACAGAAUGCACUCAGCCAUGCGAUUCAAUGUAACACUCCGUCCUAUGUUAUCAUUGAACCGACACCUGAUAGCGUUCAGCCCUAUAACUAACCCCAUGAGACCCAAUGAAUGGUAUGCUGUGGGCGAUGAUGUCAUCAUCUGGAAUGCAGGCUGCCACCAUUGUCCAUAGAGGCAAUGAUCACACAAUAUCGGAAAACAUUGUGGGGGGGAUGUGACCUGUCGCCUAUAUACAAAGAAGGUCACAUAAGAUAUAUACAACCACCGAGGGGCUCCACUAUGUUCUCUUUGAUGUCCACUUCUUGAAAAACUACAGGGGAUAAUGGAUGCAGAUUGUCUUUCUUCAAGAACGA